ensembl:lncRNA
UUUCAGUUCGGGAACAUUCUCUUCCCUUGUAUCUUUGAACAUUGUGUGUGCACUAGCUGCUCUGUUCUCUUUCUCUUCAAGGCAGAAUAGCUACAUACUGGGGCCCUGCUGUGGGUGCCUCAUGUAGAUUAUCUUCUUCUGCGUGCUUUGAAUUUUUCCAUUUUGUUUUUUAUUGUGCAUGAUUUUUUUUAAGCCAGCACCAUUCUUCAUCCUACAGUGCUCAUUCAGCUUUUUGCUGGUGCUGUUCUGUUUUAAUUUCAUCUCCCUUUCCAUUAAAAGCUGUUUUGUUAUUUCCUCUUUCAUCUGAACGUAGGCAGUACCUGUUUCUUUAAUUUCCUCAAGAAGAUGAAACGUUGUUGCUGAAAUAUUUCUUUUCUUUCCUGGAGGCAGGCCUCUAACCUCGUGGUGGCCAUUUUCCCCUGCCUCUGCAAUCACGGAGCCACAUCAGGAUGGAUCUUCCCAAGGCUUGGGUCCUUGAGUGGCUGGGAUGAGAAGAGCUCCAUUGAUGACCCUGAUGGACAUAGUAACUUCAGCUGGGGUGCCGUCCAAGAGUCAGUCAAAGUUCUUCCGCUUCUUGAGAAUGUAAUACUUCAUGGCUCAUUUGAAAUUGAGUCGGCACAAAGCAAGGCUUUAUGGCAGCAGCUGAAUGCGGUAUCCUGGGUGGCAUCUGGCACUUUGGGAUCUAAGGCAAAUAAGUCAAGGACUGGUGAUCCCCAGGGGUUUUCCCUCAUGGAGUUUAGCUUAAGCAGAAGGAGAGGAAUGAGGGCUUAAAGUGUCAUGGGUUUCAUGCUAGAAAAAUUUGGAUUUACAUUCUGUUAUUUCAGCUGUCAAGUUCUUAAAAUGGAUACAAAUCUUUGCAGUCACUCCAUGGGACUUCGCUGUGUGGAAUCAAAUUUUUUGCAAAUUUAGAGGCAACAACAGUGACAGAAGUUCAGCAAAUAUGUCAAUCAGCCUGAAUGGAUGUAAACGAUGAGUGAGAGGUGGGGGAGGUGUCCCUGAGCACAAAUUUUGCCUGUUUCCGAACACCCUGUUUUGUACCACUCUGCUGUUCACGGAUAGGAUAAGAAGGGGAAAUGAUCCCUUUCUCUCCUGAUAUUGUGCACCAGGAGGAAUCUCUUUCCACCCAUAAACACAAGAGGAUUUAUCAGAUGUGUUGGAUCAAGAAAUGCAUUUUUUGAUAAUUGGAUUUUUAAAUAAAUAUAUGAAAGUAUUAUUCUCUCCAGCUUAUUAUGCUUUUUUAGGUCACUAGCGAGGACUUCUACAUCCAAGAGAAUAUUAGGAGUUGUGAUAGAUCCCCCCUAUGGCCCCAAUUCUUCUCCAUCUCUGUGUUCACACCUUUUGCUGUUCCUCUCACCAGAUGGGUAGCAUUUAUUUUCCUGCAUCAUGGGAUUUGCAGCCAAUAGACUGAGGCAGAGGUGAUGGCGUGCCGGUUCUGAGUAGAGGCCUCAAAGGCCUUUGCACCUUUUUACUUUCCUUUUUGUAGCUUUGUGUUGUCACGAGCCUCCAACUUACCUACACAUGAGCAGGUGAGAAAAACCAGCCUGCGGACACAUGAGCCAAGCAAUUGAGAGCAGCUUGGCCAGCCUAGGUCAGUAGACCCCGCAGUGAGCUACAGACAUGUGAGGUAGAAUAGUAAAUGAAUAUUGUUUUAAAUCACUACAUUUUGUGUAUUUUAUUAGGCAGCACUUUUGUUCCAAUGGCUCCUUGACACUACAGUGUUAACCUUUAACAAAGAUUCAAUAGAUAUUUACAGAAUGAAUGAAUGAACAAAACUAUAUCCAGAAUAUUUCUGUGUAUAUGUACACAAAUGUGUUUGCAGAUAAAAGUAAAAUAAUAAAAUACACACUCUAUAUUUUCACCUGCCUAUGGAUUUAGACCCUUCUCUGUUUUAGUUUUCACAGUUCUCCAUUAAAAGUUGGUUUGAGAUUAAUUAGCUGUUUGCAAAGUUCACAGAGAAUGAGAGGCAAGUUUACCUUGCACCAUGGCUGUCCAGUCUUGUUUCCCACUGGAUGUGAUUUCAAUCAUCUUUAAUUAAUUUUCAUAUAUUUUGUUGUUGACUGACUUUCCAGAUCACUACGCAAAAUUAGUAUUUUGCAAACAAAAUGAUAGCAAUGUUGGUUCCCCUCUCCCCACAAAGAAGAAACACACAAAAAUAUUUUCAUUUCCUAGAUACUUCUGUAACUUAAAAAAACACAAUGUCUAUUAUAGGCAGUGUUAAAACUGUGCUGCAGGAAAUGAUCAGAAAGAUUUUCUUCCGUGUUAGUGCUAUAAUUGCACUUAAGGAGAAUAUAGAAGGAUUAGUUAAUUUCGCUGCUCAGUGCAAGUUUGAUUCUGGCUUUCAAAGCUAAAAUUGGAAGAAAAAUCUUGAGUUGAUAACGGCAUUCAGGAUUUCUAAUCAAUUACUGUCUUCAAACCUUUCAGCACGGUGGUUCCAAAGAAUGAAAAGAGAAGACAGAUCUUCUGGAAGUGAAAUGAAGUGCGUUGAUAAAUAACUGACCAAACAUCUCAUUUCUAAAACAUUUUAAGCUUUUAAAAAUUUUCUUCUAGAUGGCUCAGGGUAUUUUUUUAAGUGUAUAUAUGUAUUUUUUUUUUUGUUAUCAUCAGACAGGAUAUAACUCUAACUUGGUACAAGGUAUAAUUUCUACUGGGUGUUUGGAAAGCCGCAGGGCUGUUGUUUUGAGAUUAGCUGUGAAGGCACAUGAUGACCUGGUCACAGUUCUUGACCUCCCCCAAAGAUAGUAAACCACAUGCUCUUUCCCACACGUGCACAUUUUUGAUUGAAACAGAGAGUGUCAAGGGAACUAGAACUUGAGGAGAAUAUGCCCUUGGCCAUUGCACAAUUGUCUAUUGUGAGAUUUUAGGAUUUGUCAGAAAAAUAUAGUUGGGUCAUUGUUUAUUCCAACCAGGUUUCAAACUCCCCAUGACCCUGUCCUGCCCCAGGUCCUUGUAGGAUUCUGAGUGCCUUAUUUUAAGAGCCUAGAAAUAGUUUGGGCUUCCUAUUGAUGACAGAGUUAUUUUCUACGUAACCUGCUUUGUUAAAUGCAUUUUUAAAAAUGGCAGAAAAACAUGGGCUGUAUCUUAGAGGAACACCAGGAAUAGGAAGACCUUCUCUUCGACUUGAUCUUACAUCUGUAACUGCUUUCUUCAGUUGGAUGGUAGGCAGGUGAAAAAUAUUAUUCAAGUCACCCAUUGAUGGAAUGAUCCAAUUGAUUAUAUGACUGAUUUGACCAACAGCAGAAUGAUUUGAGCAACAAAGGGAUCUGUGAAUUAUUUUAUGUCUAGGAAAGUUUUGAAUUCUAAGAACUAUUCUAAACACUGAUCAUGGGUGUACCUUGUUUACUUGGUGAAUUUAGAAUUAUUUUAGCAAGUCAUAAAGCUGUAUAGUGACAGUGCACAUCUUCAGGGCUUUAGAAAUGAUCUUUCUUAUGUGAUUAUUUCGGUGACUUGUCCCUUUUAUUUGUCAACUGUUUGAAUGUGCAUCUGUAUGUUGUAUGUGCAUCUGUAUGUGUGCAUGCGUGUG